GAUGAACGCUAGCGGCAGGCCUAACACAUGCAAGUCGAGGGAGAGGUUACCUUCGGGUAACCAAAACCGGCGCACGGGUGCGUAACGCGUAUACAAUCUGCCUUUCACAUAGGGAUAGCCCGAAGAAAUUUGGAUUAAUACCUAAUGGUAUAUAAGAGCGGCAUCGUUUUUAUAUUAAAGCUACGGUGGUGAAAGAUGAGUAUGCGUUCUAUUAGCUAGUUGGAGAGGUAACGGCUCCCCAAGGCGACGAUAGAUAGGGGUUCUGAGAGGGAUGUCCCCCACACUGGUACUGAGAUACGGACCAGACUCCUACGGGAGGCAGCAGUGAGGAAUAUUGGACAAUGGUCGGAAGACUGAUCCAGCCAUGCCGCGUGCAGGAUGAAGGUCCUAUGGAUUGUAAACUGCUUUUGUAAGGGAAGAAUAAGGAGUACGUGUACUUUGAUGACGGUACCUUACGAAUAAGCAUCGGCUAACUCCGUGCCAGCAGCCGCGGUAAUACGGAGGAUGCGAGCGUUAUCCGGAAUCAUUGGGUUUAAAGGGUCCGUAGGCGGGCUGAUAAGUCAGAGGUGAAAGCGCUUAGCUCAACUAAGCAACCGCCUUUGAAACUGUCAGUCUUGAAUGAUUGUGAAGUAGUUGGAAUGUGUAGUGUAGCGGUGAAAUGCUUAGAUAUUACACAGAACACCGAUAGCGAAGGCAUAUUACUAACAAUUUAUUGACGCUGAUGGACGAAAGCGUGGGGAGCGAACAGG
rnacentral:rRNA from 1 species